rnacentral:lncRNA from 1 species
GCUGACACCCUACCUGUCGCAUCUCCAUCUCCGGACCUUAAGCAUUUUUUUCAAUAUUAUUUUUUAAAAAUAAUAUUUUUAAAAAGUAAUAAAAUAAUAUUUUUUAAAUAAUAAUAAAAUAAUAAUAUUAAAAAUAAUAUUUAUUUUUAAAAUAUUAUUUUAAAAAAUUUCUAAGUGAUGGGUGAGGUGUUUGGAUUUUUUUUCUAAGGGAAGGAGAGAGGG